rnacentral:rRNA from 2 species
AAGUCGUAACAAGGUCUCCGUUGGUGAACCAGCGGAGGGAUCAUUACCGAGUUUACAACUCCCAAACCCCUGUGAACAUACCACUUGUUGCCUCGGCGGAUCAGCCCGCUCCCGGUAAAACGGGACGGCCCGCCAGAGGACCCCUAAACUCUGUUUCUAUAUGUAACUUCUGAGUAAAACCAUAAAUAAAUCAAAACUUUCAACAACGGAUCUCUUGGUUCUGGCAUCGAUGAAGAACGCAGCAAAAUGCGAUAAGUAAUGUGAAUUGCAGAAUUCAGUGAAUCAUCGAAUCUUUGAACGCACAUUGCGCCCGCCAGUAUUCUGGCGGGCAUGCCUGUUCGAGCGUCAUUUCAACCCUCAAGCACAGCUUGGUGUUGGGACUCGCGUUAAUUCGCGUUCCUCAAAUUGAUUGGCGGUCACGUCGAGCUUCCAUAGCGUAGUAGUAAAACCCUCGUUACUGGUAAUCGUCGCGGCCACGCCGUUAAACCCCAACUUCUGAAUGUUGACCUCGGAUCAGGUAGGAAUACCCGCUGAACUUAA